GAUGAACGCUAGCGACAGGCUUAACACAUGCAAGUCGAGGGGCAGCGGGGUGUGGCAACACACUGCCGGCGACCGGCGCACGGGUGAGUAACGCGUAUGCAGCUUGCCUAUCAGAGGGGGAUAACCCGGCGAAAGUCGGACUAAUACCGCAUAAAACAGGGGUCCCGCAUGGGGAUAUUGGUUAAAGAUUCAUCGCUGAUAGAUAGGCAUGCGUUCCAUUAGGCAGUUGGCGGGGUAACGGACCACCAAACCGACGAUGGAUAGGGGUUCUGAGAGGAAGGUCCCCCACAUUGGUACUGAGACACGGACCAAACUCCUACGGGAGGCAGCAGUGAGGAAUAUUGGUCAAUGGCCGGGAGGCUGAACCAGCCAAGUCGCGUGAAGGAUGAAGGUCCUAUGGAUUGUAAACUUCUUUUGUGCGGGAAUAAAGUCGGGGAUGCGUCCCCGUUUGCAUGUACCGUACGAAUAAGCAUCGGCUAACUCCGUGCCAGCAGCCGCAGUAA
rnacentral:rRNA from 1 species